rnacentral:rRNA from 1 species
UUACCUUCGGGUAUUGAGGAUGGCGGACGGGUGAGUAACGCGUAAGGAACUUGCCUCUUGGUCUGGGACAACUGUUGGAAACGACAGCUAAUACCGGAUAUUAUGAGAUUCUCGCAUGGGAAACUUAUGAAAGCUAUAUGCGCCAAGAGAGAGCCUUGCGUUCCAUUAGCUAGUUGGUGGGGUAACGGCCCACCAAGGCGACGAUGGAUAGCCGGCCUGAGAGGGUGAACGGCCACAAGGGGACUGAGACACGGCCCUUACUCCUACGGGAGGCAGCAGUGGGGAAUAUUGGACAAUGGACCAAAAGUCUGAUCCAGCAAUUCUGUGUGCACGAUGAAGGUCUUCGGAUUGUAAAGUGCUUUCAGUUGGGAAGAAGCAAGUGACGGUACCAACAGAAGAAGCGACGGCUAAAUACGUGCCAGCAGCCGCGGUAAUACGUAUGUCGCAAGCGUUAUCCGGAUUUAUUGGGCGUAAAGCGCGUCUAGGCGGAAAAAUAAGUCUGAUGUUAAAAUGCGGGGCUCAACUCCGUAUUGCGUUGGAAACUGUUUUUCUAGAGUACUGGAGAGGUGGGCGGAACUACAAGUGUAGAGGUGAAAUUCGUAGAUAUUUGUAGGAAUGCCGAUGGAGAAGUCAGCUCACUGGACAGAUACUGACGCUAAAGCGCGAAAGCGUGGGGAGCAAACAGG